AUUUAAAUAGUUUAAGUUAAAACAUAAUAUUGAAGAUAUUAAGAUAAUUAUUAAUUUUUAAAUA
rnacentral:tRNA from 1 species